AGGUGGUGUUCCAGGCCAUUAUAGGGCAGGGGGAUAUUUACGGGUACGGUGAUAUCGGGCUGGACGACGUGACAGUUCGAGAGGGGCUAUGUCCUUGGCCAGAGUUUGACGACUGCUUGAGCUCCCCUUGCCUGAAUAACGGCACGUGCACAGACGGGAAGGACAACUACACCUGCACGUGUGGGGAACAGUUCUACGGGCGGAACUGUGAGCACGAUAUUGAUGAUUGCAAGAGCGCCCCCUGCCUCAACAACGGUACCUGCAUUGACGGCGACCGGAAUUACACCUGCAUCUGCAGCGACGCGUUCUAUGGAGGCGACUGUGAGAUCG